CUGAAGGGAGGCUGCAUUCCGGCAGACGAAGUGCUGUAUCACAGGGAUCACGGGACCUGAUCCUUCUCUGUCACAGGGAUGUUUUUCUUCAACAAGAAAUGUGUCUGAAGUUGGAAACACUUCCAGAAGAAUUCUGAGCUUUGACAUUUCACAAUAAAUGUCCUGCUAUUUCUGGACCGUGCACAAGGGAGGCUGGGAUCCGUGAUCGGUGUGGCCCGGUGAGCAGCUGCGUGCAGUCUUCUGGUCCUGGGAAAACCUUCUCAGGGGCAGAGGAAGGGCAUUAUAUUAGAAGGGUUGAGUCUAAAGAAAAUUUCUUAAUUGUACAUAUUUGUGCAAUGGUGAUAAGAACACCUACAGAAAUUUAUAACUGCUGACUCUUUGUGGUUGAAGCAAAUAACUUGAACUCCAGUAUCUGGCAGAGAAACAUACUAACGGGAUCCUGUUUGUUGGAACACAAUGUCUUACAACGAUGUCCAGCAGGUGCUGGGGGCAGCAACACAUGUAAGAAACUGACCUAAGAGCUUGGGGCUGCAGUGUGGUAAGGCCUGAGAAGAGCUAUCAGGUGGGGACUUGAGCCGUCAGCCUGGCUGAGAACAUCUGUUCUGACCCGCAGAGCCACGGAGACACAAGAAGCCAUCAGCCUGCCGUUUUCUUCUUUCCUCAGAGUGGGCACUGGGGAGCUUAAAACCCUUUUCCGUCAACGACCAAGACCCUCGGUUUGUUCCUUCCCUUCUCUCAAGAGAAGGCAGUUCUGUCUAACCUGGUUGAAGAAUUUCACUGAGAAAAGACCUAGAUAAAAGACUGGAAGUUGCACCAGAAAAGCUGAGCGGAGGAAGGAGGCUUUCAGGAAUCCGGUCCCUGUCCCACAUCACAAAAGUCUGUGAAGAAGAAGGGAGGUGAAAUCUCAAGGUGAAAAAAUUGGAGUGAGGAUUUGGUACAAAACAAACAGUGAGAAAACAACUGGUUAUUUCAAACAGGGCAAAAGGGGGCAUGAUGGGGUGAA